rnacentral:rRNA from 1 species
UAUAGAGGUCCCGAGCGUUGUUCGGAUUCAUUGGGCGUAAAGGGCGCGUAGGCGGCCAGCGCAAGUCAGUUGUGAAAUCUCCGAGCUUAACUCGGAAAGGUCAACUGAUACUGCGCGGCUAGAGUGCAGAAGGGGCAACUGGAAUUCUCGGUGUAGCGGUGAAAUGCGUAGAUAUCGAGAGGAACACCUGCGGCGAAGGCGGGUUGCUGGGCUGACACUGACGCUGAGGCGCGAAAGCUAGGGGAGCGAACGGG